rnacentral:rRNA from 1 species
GAGGACAAGGAGCUGGUAUCAGGCACACAACAUCAAGCCCACGACACCUUGCUUAGCCACACCCCUAAGGGUAUACAGCAGUGAUAAAUAUUAAGCCAUAAGUGAAAACUUGACCUAGUCAAAGCUAAAAGGGCCGGUAAAACUCGUGCCAGCCACCGCGGUUAUACGAGAGGCCCAAGUUGAUAGACUCACCGGCGUAAAGGGUGGUUAAGAGUAAACUAAAACUAAAGCUGAACAUCUUCAAAGCAGUUAUACGCUCCCGAAGAUAAGAAACUCAACUACGAAAGUGGCUUUAUAACCCUGAACCCACGAAAGCUAUGGCACAA